rnacentral:tRNA from 3 species
GCACUCGUAGCUUAAUGGAUAGAGCAUCUGACUACGGAUCAGAAGGUUGCAGGUUCGAGUCCUGCCGAGUGCA